UUUUUAAAUGGAAACUCAUGCUUGAUAUUACCUCAACAGUGUGUCCCUAAGAAAGUGUCAGAGCCUUUACCUAGACCUUCCAAUGAAAAACAAAUAAAUUAAAAAACACACAGUAUAGUCAAUGUAAAAGGAGAAGGUAAGGAUACUAUUUUAUUUAAAAAGUCAUUUGAUGGACAUUUUUUUAAUAUGAGCACUAAUAUAUUCAGAUAAAGAAAAUGUUCUAUUAAAUAUAUAAUAAGUAAAGGAGAAGUAAAAUGGUGAUAAGUUCUGUAUCUAAUCAGAGGUCAGCAGUUAAGUCUAUUGAGAGUACCACUAAAGGAGCUGAAUUAUUAGUUCCCAUUAUAAGAUACUAUAAGAUCUGAGGCAAGUCAGGAAAGAGGGAAGAGGAAAUGAAUAAAAGAGAAACAAUGAGGAGGGCAGAGUGUACAUGGAAUAAAUGAAGAAACAGUAUGUGGGUGUAUGUAAAGGAGGGUAGUAAAGUCAAAUUGAUUUGUGGAAGGAAGAGUAGGGUAAUAGAAAUAGGAAAGAAGGUAAUGUCAGCUUCCAGCACCAAAAUGUGUCAGAGAAUUAGAGUAACAUCUUCCUGCUCUUACUGUCAUUCUGACUAUUGGAGAGGCAUGAAGAUUGAGGUACCUCACCACACAGACCUGUGUUUUAUCUACCAUAGAUGAAUAUCACCAUAAAUGGUCAGCCUUGUAUGGCCAUAAUUUAGUUUUAUAGAACUAAAAAUGUUAUAACUUCAUUGGAUAGUAUCAUAUAGGCCAAAUUAACAUAAUUGAAUAGUGUCAUGUGAUUUAUGGAGAGGAAGUUAGAGAAGGUAUAACCUGAUUAAAAGUUUAUUAGAAACAUUAUGGCUUAUAAUGCCAAAUUAAAUUCAGGGACUUAAUAGGGAAGAAACGGGCUAAGUUCCAGAUGGGCAAUUAAGGUAAACAAAUGUGGAAGCACAUUAGUGUAGAACAGGGCAUCCAAAUUUUCAUGAAUUAGUUGAGGAGCUUCUGGAAAAUGGACAUUCUCAUUCAGCACAUGUGGGUUUCUGCCUUUCUCAGGAAUACUCAGGUGGUGGUGGUGCUAUUCCUUGGACACAGCUCUGAAUAAGGAAAUAGCCUUCCUUUAGAGAAAUCUGGAAAAAGAAGCAUUGGACAGCUAUUUAACAAAAUAACAGAAUCAAGGGAAGGCAUUGAUCUCCUUUUAUUUCUGAAGUAGGAUUCUAGCCACAGAGGAAGCAGAAUGAGAUGAAAAAAGAAAUUAUUGGUGUAUACUACUGCUAAUACAGAUAAAAAAAAAAAAAGUUGUCACAAUUAUCUAUAAAAAGCAGUUAGGAAGAGAAGCAUCAGGAUGACAGAUCUAAAGAUUACUUUUGCAAAGGAAGAGGGAUUCUGAAAGGGCAAAGACAGGAGAAGAAAACGGAAUUUGUUGGGGGAACUUUGGAGUUAAAUCCAAGAAAUCUUGAAACACCUCACUUCUAGUUCCUUUGGCAUAUGCCCAGUCUAGCAAAAGCGGUUAUUGCUGUGGAGAGUACUGGAGGCAGGAGGGAGUGCUAGAAUUGGGGUAAACCACAGCAGCUAAUUUCUCUUCAUAACUGUCAGGCCGCAGAGCAAGAAGUUUCAUUGACAAGAGUGAAUAAGAUGUGACUAAGUUGCAUUUUGGCUAUUUUUUUUUUGGGGGGGGGGUCAGCCAGUUCUUUGAUAUGAUAGCUAUUUUAUAAAAGUCAUUUACAGAUUAAGAUGACAUGCCAAAGUUAGCUAAUUUUAGAAGCAGUCAUAUUAUAAAAUUUAUUCUAUGACUACCAAAAUUGUCAUUUUCUAAUACCUCACUGAUCUUGAAAUAUAAAAGUUUAUUCUUUUCUAUCAAGACUGUGACAAUUCAAUGUUUUCUCUUUUGAUAACUAUUUUGAUACUGAAAGCUUAUUCUACAUAGUUUAUUUGAUGUGUUUUAAGUCUUACAUAAGUGGAUCAAGGAAUUCUUAAGAAAAGGUCAAAUGAGAGAAUAUGAGAAAUGUAGGUGCUUCAGUAGCCACGUGGGCAUCGGUAAAUGAGAAUUUUGAAACUGUUAUUUCAUAAGUUUGUGUCAUAGCUAAUCAAUUUAGUACACUUUUUUUGAUGAGAGGUGAAUCACACAUUCACCUGAACUGGCAUCCCAACUGUGUAUUUCCUAAGUGACAGGACAAGGGGAAGCACAUGAUAAAUAUUUGUGGUGUUCUGGCAUCAAUGCCUCUGAUGUUUUGAGUUUAAAUAAUCUGUAGCAUUCACUAUCAGCCUUGACAUUGAUUCUCUCAGGUUAUGAUUUAUUCUACUGUUUAAUAGUCCCUUUUAUCCUUAUCAGCCCAACGCAUUCACAUUAAUGUCCAUACUUUUCUAUUUUAGUUAUAGGCAUUUUAAACAAACUCACUUUUGAAAUAUAAACGUUGUGAUUUAGGGAUCCUAUAUUCCCAUUUUACUCAGUAUAUUUCCAUCACAUUGCUGUCCUAGGCAAAGAAAAGGAGAUGCCAAAAAGAACCCUCAAAACCUUAAGUAACUAUUUUCAGAGCCAAGCAUGAGGACUCAGCUUGAUACUAACACUGCAUGAAUGGUUGGCCCUGUCACACCUACAUAUAAUUGAUGACAUGUCCACUUUGCUUUGUAGGGCCUCCUGAAUAACAUCCUUCCUUGAAGCCUACCACUGAAAUGGAAGAUCGUGUUGUGAGAGAAGCAGUACAAAGAAAGAAUGUACAGACAUCGAGAGCAGAUUCUGGUAGUUCUGAUGAAUCUGCAGUCGGCAUUUUCCAUGAACUGUGUGUGGAUUCAUGCCCUAAACCAGAUGAUGAAGACCUGUUACUACCAAGGUAAAGUGGUCUCUUGUAAAAUUUUCUCACUCAGUCAACUUUUGCAUAGUAUUUACUUUUUUUAAAUUUAGCAGUGGUUUACCUAUUAUUGUUUUAUGAUGGUUAUGGAAAGUUGGCCAAACAAAACUAUAGACAUAUGGCUAGUUGAUUAAAAAUUUUUAUUAAUGUUGGUAACAAAAGAUUGUGACAAAAGUACUGUGACAGGGUGGGGGCUAAACAAAAAUGAACUGGAAGAUACAUAGCAACAGAAAAAUCACCUUAGGAAAUGUUUUCCCCAAUACAAAAAAUAUGAAAUUUGGUUAAAGUUUAAUUAAAUAUUAAUACUUUGACUUUUAAAUUGUACUAGUGUGACAUCUGUAUUUUUGCCAGUAUAAAUCUUCAGUGGAUCAAAUUACUUGUAAUCAUGGAAUCUCCCUGACACCUUUUAGUUGAAAAACUGUACAGCAAAUAGCAUAUAGCUGUUUUUCUUGGACACUUACUAUUUGGGUAUAAUAUACUUGGUAGGAGAGAUGGUUCCUCUACUUAUAUUAUUGGUUUUGAAAAUAAGACUAAAAUAUUAAAAAUUGUAGAAAAAAUAGCUGGGUGUGGUGAUAUACACCUAUAGUCCCAGCUACUUGGGAGUUUGAAGUUGCCUGAGCCCAGGAGUUUGAGAACCGCCUGGG